rnacentral:lncRNA from 1 species
UGUGCUUGUAAGGGAGCUACCAUUUGAUUUUUAUGGGGGGGCUAGGAUGAAAAAUUUUGUCCUGCAUUUUUUUUUAGCUGUAAUCUGUCCUGCCUUUUUAUUUUUCACUCUGUUCGGUCCUGCAUUUUUUUUUUUUAGUUUAUCCUGACUUUUUUUUACCUAAAUUGUCGUCCUGACUUUUUUUUUUGGUAAGUGUCUCAUCCUGCCUUUUUUUUUUUACUCAAAACUCCUGUCCUGCCUAUUUUUUUCAAAUUUCAUCCUAGCCCCCCCCAUAAAAAUCAAAUGGUAGAUCCCUAAGGCUGACCAUAUUUUUGUCUACAUGGUUAUUCCGUGACCUAAAUGAUUUUUGUUUAUGAGACUAUGAGACAAGAGAAAACAUUGUGAAGAUGAAAUAAAAAAGUAUUAGAGCACAACUUAGUUCUUUAUUUGAAGAAAAGGCAAAAAUAUAGGGUCCCUUUUUUAACAGCAAUUAGG